rnacentral:rRNA from 1 species
GCUAACGUGUAACGAUGAGCACUCUAGGCGGGACUGCCGUUGGACAAAACGGAGGAAGUGGGGAUGACGUCAAAUCAUCAUGCCCCUUAUGUUCUGGGCUACACACGUGCUACAAUGGCCGGUACAAAGGGACGCAAAGCCGCGAGGUGGAGCAAAUCCGAUAAAAGCCGGUCUCAGUUCGGAUUGCAGGCUGCAACUCGACUGCGUGAAGUCGGAAUCGCUAGUAAUCGUGGAUCAGCAUGUCACGGUGAAUACGUUCCCGGGUCUU